AUUGAACGCUGGCGGAAUGCUUUACACAUGCAAGUCGAACGGCAGCACGGGGGCAACCCUGGUGGCGAGUGGCGAACGGGUGAGUAAUACAUCGGAACGUGCCCAGUCGUGGGGGAUAACGUAGCGAAAGUUACGCUAAUACCGCAUACGAUCUACGGAUGAAAGCGGGGGACCGUAAGGCCUCGCGCGAUUGGAGCGGCCGAUGUCAGAUUAGGUAGUUGGUGAGGUAAAGGCUCACCAAGCCGACGAUCUGUAGCUGGUCUGAGAGGACGACCAGCCACGCGUGGUCUGAGACACUGCCCAGACUCCUACGGGAGUCAGCAGUGGGGAAUUUUGGAUAAUGGGCGCAAGCCUGAUCCAGCCAUUCCGCGUGCAGGACGAAGGCCUUCGGGUUGUAAACUGCUUUUGUACGGAACGAAAAGGCUCUGGUUAAUACCUGGGGCUCAUGACGGUACCGUAAGAAUAAGCACCGGCUAACUACGUGCCAGCAGCCGCCGUAA
rnacentral:rRNA from 1 species